UUAGUGUUUUAGUUCGUUUCACUUCUGUAUUCUGAGUUUGAUUUAACAUUCUCACUAUAACAGAAGAGAAACAGAGAUCUCUUUAUACGACAAUAAUCAUUCUGUGUCAUUCUUUAUAUUUCAAGUUCCCGUUCUACUUUUUGGUUGUCGCACGAAGGAAAAGAGACACGAAGAGGGAAAAAGCAGGAGCAGAAACGAAAAGAAAAAAAAGCCGCAAAUGUCAAUUCUUUAACAGACAAUGAGAAACUGAUGAACAAUCUGUGUGGAUCGCAAGAAGAUAAUGUGCAGAGUGAGGAGGACAUGUGUUUCGACUGUGAAACACACAAGCAAUAGGCUGCAAAUUAAAGAGCAGCUAUCCGCCACACGAGAAAACUCAUGUGAAUUGACUGGAGAAAAUCAAAACAUGAAUAUAAAGAGAGAAAAAAGAAACACUUCCCACAGAUUUAGACCUUGUUGGUGAUAUCAGCAAUAACGUUUAUUUAAUCUAACGCAUCCCAUCUUUUAUUUGUGCAGAUGAUUCUAAGAGAAAUCAUGAAGACCAUAGAUAUAUUUUUUUAUUGCUUUCAAAUUCUCAUUCAAACAUUACCAUACAGAACAGUGCCAAGUAUUAGCAGCAAAUCUUGUUUAUCGCAAGGGAAAUGAAAUAUUCUCUUGAUAAUUUUAUCAAUUUUCUGUCUUUCCAUUUUGUGUCUUUGUUGUCUAAAUUUGGCAUUGAGAAAAGAAUUCAUCAUACAUAUUUGAUGGAACUGUUAUCAAAUAUUCAUAAGAAUGUAACUUCUCUGAAGAUGAUAUACUUACUGGCUUUAAGAGCAUCGUCGUCAGCAACAUCAUCGUCAUUGUCGUUGUCUUCGUCGUCAUUUUAACGUCCACUUUUGCAUGCUUGCAUGGGUGAGACGGAAUUCGUUGUUAAGGCAGAUUUUCUAAGUCUUCACGCGUUACCAAGCAAGGUAAUAUUUCCUCCAUGAUUAAAAAAACGAAAGGACAUCGCUUGUAUGACAGUGACGCUCAUCUACCAUGUGAUGUAAAGAAAAGAUGGUAAAAGCACAGACACCCUGAAAUAUUUAUAUGUAUAUACCUCGGCCCAGGCCAUGACUAACUCAAUAGCACAUCCUAGAAAAGUCUUUUAGUUAAUCAUUUCGGGACAUCAUGGACCACUUGAGUAGAGAGUUGUUGUUGGUUGAGACGUAUCCAGGUGUAGGUGGUUUGUCCGGUGUUUCCUAGAGGAAUUUUUCCAGGUACCUUUUGAAAAUUAUAGGGUUUUCUGUUUACUUUAUAUAUAUAUAUAUACAUUGGGGUAGUUAAUUGUCAUGGACGGUCAUAUAGUGACCAUUAGUUUCUUGUUUUGCAUAUAUAAAGCGUUUGGUCGUAUAGGCGAUUCAUAUGUACGUAACUAUAUAGGUAUAUAUUCGAUUAAAGCUGUUGUUUACAAGUUAAUCCGACCCAACCUGGUGCCUAUCAUUUAAGUACCUGAUUCCUUUGGAUCCUUAAUAUUUUGUAUGUGUUUAUAUAUAUAUCUUCCUCUCUCUUACUCUUUUACCUCCCCUUCUCGCUCUCUUUUUUCUUUCUUAUCCUAUCUCCAAAUCUUAUCUUCUCCCCUUCACAGUUCUCUAUCUAUCACUCUCUCUCCCUCACUCUUCCUCCUUUGCUCAAGUGGCUCCCACGUGACCAUCGGCCAUUUUUCUUUCUUCUCCUAACUUGUUUUUCAUUCUUUCUUCCUGUUGCAGCUGAACAAGGAAGAUGUAUUCUUGUCUGUCUCCUAUCCAAGUUUGUUUCUUCGCGUUCGCCACCACAACCUCGUUUAGGCUUAGCAGCCCUUCCUGUUUCUUUUCACUGUCCUGUUUUUGUCACCAAUUUUGACCCUCCGCAAAAUCUCAAAUUUUAUUUAAUUUGCUUUGUGGGAGCAACUGUUUUACCGAAGGUGUAUCUUAUCGUGAAAUGCUCGAAAUACGGAUUAGAAAAACAGCCGACAACUGAUGAAGGGUCGUUCUUUGUGUUGUUUGUCUUGUUUUCCAUUUGUUUCUUUCGUUGUUCACAAAAAAAAAUUCAUAUUCCAUGUUCUGGUACUUCGUAUUUUUUUGUUGUUUACGUUUUGUGACGUCCUGUGCCUACAUAUGCAUAUGUAUAUACGUAUACAUGUAAGUAUGUACGUAUAUAUACACACACAUACAUACACACACACAAAUGCAUGCACAUAGCGGGCUUCUUUCAGUUUCCAUCCACUAUAUCCACUCGCAAGGCCGUAACCGGACCGGGGUUAUUGCAGAAGACACUUUCCCAAAGUGCCGUACAGUAGAACUGAACCUGAAACUAUGUGGUUGAGAAGUGAUCGUCCCAAGCACACAGCCAUGACCAGGAAACUAACAACGAAAAUCAUGGAGAGACUUUUUUUAUUCGUUACUUUUGUAACAAUCGUGAAAGCUAGUUUUAUUGUGAAAAGAUUAUGUAAAACGAAAAAUACUCUAACUUAAUCUUAUCUCAGUAAUCCUCACUGUUAGAUUGAUAUUCUCAAUGAAAAUAAUAUAUACACGAGUAUGACACAUUAACAUUGUAUUAAAAUAAACUCUAUCAUAAUUAACCGAACUACUUCUUCAUUACUAAGGUAGAUUAAUAAUAAUACGUGUGUUUGUGCGUGGCAAAGGUAAAACACGAGUUUGACUUUCUCCAAUAAUAGAGGAGUGGCUUACCCCUCGAAUGGACAAAAACGUGCCGACGAUAAAUAAAAUUGCUUUAAUAUCAUUAAUGAGAUUGUAAUUAAUUUUGUUGGUUUUGGUGUGUAGCCAUGUGCUGACAU